CUCCGCUCGACUUUCUCUUACUUUUAUUUUACCUCUUUAUCUCUCACUAGCUUAUCAAGCCCAUUUUUUCGGCUCUUCUUUGAAGAUCUUAAUUUCAACACAUGUAAAUUGAUUUUCCAUUUUGAUUUUGGUAUUUCUAUUCUUCUCAAUUGGGUUUUCUCUUCUUUUUUUCCUGGGAUGUUUUUCUAUUCUUCUCAAUCGCCUCUAUUUAACUUAAAAAAAUCUAGGGUUUUAGUAGUGAAGAAGAUAAAGAAUAUGGGUCACGCUAAUGUCCGGAGUUCCCAUCGUUUUUGAUCUUAGAAUCGGCUGUGAAUGAAGCUAAUUAGCCUGGGGUUUUGAGGUGCUAUUAUUCAGGUAGAUAAAAUUGAACUCCAUUCAGGGUUCUGGUGAUAAUGGUGUGAUGGUGGACCUGGUGGUGAGGAAACUGAAGAUUAAAAUCCUGAAAAAAAUAAAGGGGUUUGAGCUGUUUGACUAAGCAUUUUUGUACAUUUUAUUUGAUGUAAAUUGAUAACUGAAUGGGGAACACAACUAUGGUGCCAAAGAUUCAUGUAAUAUAUAACUGGAAAGGAAGUUUAUGGAAAGCAGACGGAAUAUUGUCUUAUAUGUAGCAAAGAUAUCUGGUUGCGUGAAUGACUUGACCAUGAUAUCAUAUUUCAUGGGAUUUCAGAUAGUAUUGCAGGCUCUUCUAGGUUUUCCCCUUCUUGUUUGUAGAAGAUGUCAAUGGAGGAGUAUGAGAAGGUACUUGAAGAGGAGAGAAAAUUUCUGGUUGCAGUGAAGCCUGGCGAGAGGAAGGUUGAGUUAGACAAGAUGGUUGAUUAUGUACGGCUGCUUUUACUAAAGAAAGGGCUUCGGGGAAAAAAAAGAGAAGAUAAUGGUUGAGAGGAGAGAGUCAAAAAGUUUACAUGGCUAGACAGUGUCAAAGUUCUACAGAGACAUUGUUGUUUGGCCGCAGAAAGAGGUCGAGGAACUUUGGUUCAAAGAGCCAACACCAGUUCAAAGGCAGGAUAUUUCAGUCCUCUUAUCCGUAUGCAGCUCAAUAACCCUCCAUGUGUGAGAUUAUAGGGGAUGAGUUGCUGCUAGAGAUAAUUUUUCAUAUGCAGAUGGUUAAUGGUGCUAAUUAGGUGUGUCGUUCUGAAACUGUUGGUUCAGUUUGUCGUCCGUCAGGAUCUUGCAGUUAUUUUUAUGAGAACUAGAACUUAGAUAUGACUUAGAUGAAACCAGGACUUUUAUUAUUUAUUUAUUUUUGUAAUUUUGAACUAG